AAAACAUGAAGAGUCUGUUAAUGAAUGUGAGAUGCUGGAAUAAAGGAGUCUUUGCUCUUCAGCUAUGUGGCAUUGAUCCCACUAAUGGUUUGGCUUCUGAGGAGAGAAAAUCUUUGAUCCGCUCAGCUCCUGUCUACUAGAUGAUAAUGGGAUGAAAAUAAUGCAUAUAAAACAAUUAAUAUACUAUUAAUAAGUUACCCCUUCCUGGGAACAUAGUGCCUUCAGCCAAUGAAGAUGCUCCAGGUCAGGUGCCUUGACCGUCCAUAGGGAAGUUGGGGGAAGCGAAACCAAUAAUAACAGAGUGUAGGACCCAGGCCUCCUGAACCAGCAUGGACCCUGCCACCCCUGUGGCUUUUCUGAAGAUGCCACCCA